rnacentral:miRNA from 1 species
AAGGAAGGAAGGAAGGAAGGAAGGAAGGAAGGAAGGAAGGAAGGAAGGAAGGAAGGAAGGAAGAUAAUGCUAAUCCUAUCUUUGCUUCUUCCUUCCUUCCUUCCUUCCUUCCUUCCUUCCUUCCUUCCUUC